rnacentral:rRNA from 1 species
CGAGUGGCGGACGGGUGAGUAACGCGUAGGAACCUGCCCUGUAGAUUGGGACAACUCGGGGAAACUCGAGCUAAUACCAAAUAAGCUCUACGGAGGAAAGGGGUGUUUUCGGACAUCUCACUAUAGGAGGGGCCUGCGUUAGAUUAGCUUGUUGGUGGGGUAAAGGCCUACCAAGGCGAUGAUCUAUAGCUGGACUGAGAGGUCGAGCAGCCACACUGGGACUGAGACACGGCCCAG